AUUGAACGCUGGCGGCAGGCCUAACACAUGCAAGUCGAGCGGAUGAAGGGAGCUUGCUCCUGGAUUCAGCGGCGGACGGGUGAGUAAUGCCUAGGAAUCUGCCUGGUAGUGGGGGAUAACGUCCGGAAACGGGCGCUAAUACCGCAUACGACCUGCGGGAGAAAGCGGGGGAUCUUCGGACCUUACGCUAUCAGAUGAGCCUAGGUCGGAUUAGCUAGUUGGUGGGGUAAAGGCCUACCAAGGCGACGAUCCGUAACUGGUCUGAGAGGAUGAUCAGUCACACUGGAACUGAGACACGGUCCAGACUCCUACGGGAGGCAGCAGUGGGGAAUAUUGGACAAUGGGCGCAAGCCUGAUCCAGCCAUGCCGCGUGUGUGAAGAAGGUCUUCGGAUUGUAAAGCCCUUUUAGUGGGAAGGAAGAGCAGUAGGUUAAUACCUUGCUGUUUUGACGGUACCAAAAGAAUAAGCACCGGCUAACUUCGUG
rnacentral:rRNA from 1 species